CAGUAGCCACGGGAACACGAAGGGGGCUAGCGUUGUUCGGAAUUACUGGGCGUAAAGCGCACGUAGGCGGAUAUUUAAGUCAGGGGUGAAAUCCCAGAGCUCAACUCUGGAACUGCCUUUGAUACUGGGUAUCUUGAGUAUGGAAGAGGUGAGUGGAAUUCCGAGUGUAGAGGUGAAAUUCGUAGAUAUUCGGAGGAACACCAGUGGCGAAGGCGGCUCACUGGUCCAUUACUGACGCUGAGGUGCGAAAGCGUGGGGAGCAAACAGGAUUAGAUACCCGGGUAGUCCCUGUCUCUUAUAC
rnacentral:rRNA from 1 species